UCGAGAAUUUUUCUCAAUGGGGGAAACCCUGAAGGAGCGACGCCGCGUGGAGGAUGAAGGUCUUCGGAUUGUAAACUCCUGUCAUUCGAGAACAAGGUCUGUGGAGUAACUACCGGCAGACUCGAUAGUGUCGAAAGAGGAAGGGACGGCUAACUCUGUGCCAGCAGCCGCGGUAAUACAGAGGUCCCGAGCGUUGUUCGGAUUCAUUGGGCGUAAAGGGUGCGUAGGCGGCAUGGCAAGUCGGGUGUGAAAUCCCGGGGCUCAACCCCGGAACUGCACUCGAUACUGCCGUGCUCGAGUGUUGGAGAGGAGACUGGAAUUUACGGUGUAGCAGUGAAAUGCGUAGAUAUCGUAAGGAAGACCGGUGGCGAAGGCUAGUCUCUGGACAACUACUGACGCUGAGGCACGAAGGCCAGGGGAGCAAACGG
rnacentral:rRNA from 1 species